rnacentral:rRNA from 1 species
UACGUAGGGGCAAGCGUUAUCCGGAAUUAUUGGGCGUAAAGCGCGCGCAGGCGGUCCUUUAAGUCUGAUGUGAAAUCACGUGGCUCAACCACGUGCGGUCAUUGGAAACUGGAGGGCUUGAGUGCAGAAGAGGAAAGUGGAAUUCCAAGUGUAGCGGUGAAAUGCGUAGAGAUUUGGAGGAACACCAGUGGCGAAGGCGACUUUCUGGUCUGUAACUGACGCUGAGGCGCGAAAGCGUGGGGAGCAAACAGGAUUAGAUACCCCUGUA